rnacentral:tRNA from 1 species
GCUCGACUGGCCUAGCGGUUAUGGCGUCUGUUUUACACACAGAAGGUCCUCGGUUCGAUCCCGAGGUUGAGCA